rnacentral:misc_RNA from 1 species
GGUAGAGUUGUGGGAUGGUGGGGAAAAAGAUGAGUUGUGUAGAGGUCGGGGAGGACCCAAUACAAGGUGACAUGUUACUUGUGGAACUUUGUUUUUCUACUUUAAUUUCGUUAGAGAAGUCAUUUUCCUCGUUUAUUAUCUUCCAAAGGGAAAAUUGAAAAAUGUUUUCUUUCAGACCGAUCACACCCUUGGUAUCAAGGAAUUAGAAAAAAAAU